rnacentral:misc_RNA from 1 species
AACUUUUAGCAAUGGAUGUCUUGGCUCUCGCAUCGAUGAAGAACGCAGCGAAAUGCGAUAAGUAAUGUGAAUUGCAGAAUUCAGUGAAUCAUCGAAUCUUUGAACGCACCUUGCACCCUUUGGCAUUCCGAAGGGUAUGCUCGUUUGAGUGUCAUUGUACUCUCACACUCCCGAUGCUUUUGGAUUGGGAGUGGUGGACUUGGGUGUUGCUGCUUUACUGUGGCUCACCUCAAAUGGAGUAGUGCAACUCUUGGUUGGACAUAGUACGGCGGGAUAAGUGUCUUCGCCGGCGCCUCAUUAGAGGGUGGCCGAUCGGGAGCUCUGUGCUUCAAACCGUCUUCGGACAACAUCUGACAACUUGACCGCAAAUCGAGUAGGACUACCCGCUGAACUUAAGCAUAUCAAUAAGCGGAGGCU